GAGCAAACCACUCUGACCAUACUGACCUCAAAAGAUUUCAGAAGCUAAGCAGAGUUAGGCCUAGUUAGUAUUUGUAUGGGAGACAACUGAAUAAUGCUAAAGACCUC
rnacentral:rRNA from 1 species